UAAGAGGUCCCGCCUGCCCCGUGACAAUAGUUUAACGGCCGCGGUAUUCUGACCGUGCGAAGGUAGCGCAAUCACUUGUCUUUUAAAUGAAGACCUGUAUGAAUGGCACCACGAGGACUUAGCUGUCUCCCCUCUCCCGUCAGUAAAAUUGACCUACCCGUGCAGAGGCGGGUACACCCCCACAAGACGAGAAGACCCUGUGGAGCUUUAGGCCCAAGAAAGAGGACAUCAAGCCAGAAACAGCCACAGCCUAUCUUUCCCAAUGCCUUUGGUUGGGGCGACCACGGAGAUAAAACAAACCCCCGCGUGGACCGAGAGACCUCUCUUAGAACUAAGAGCCACCCCUCCAAGCACCAGAACAUCUGACCACCAAUGACCCGGCCCUGCCGACAAACGAACCGAGUUACCCCAGGGAUAACAGCGCAAUCCCCUUCCAGAGCCCCUAUCGACAAGGGGGUUUACGACCUCGAUGUUGGAUCAGGAUGUCCUAAUGGUGCAGCCGCUAUUAAGGGUUCGUUUGUUCAACG
rnacentral:rRNA from 1 species